rnacentral:rRNA from 1 species
GACGAACCGUGCGAACGUUGUUCGGAAUCACUGGGCUUAAAGGGCGCGUAGGCGGCAUGGUAAGUCCGGGGUGAAAGCCCCCAGCUCAACUGGGGAAGUGCCUUGGAAACUGCUGUGCUCGAGGGAGGUAGGGGUCGAGGGAACUUCUGGUGGAGCGGUGAAAUGCGUUGAUAUCAGAAGGAACGCCGGUGGCGAAAGCGCUCGACUGGACCUUUUCUGACGCUGAGGCGCGAAAGCUAGGGGAGCAAACGGG